GUUCUCUCAUCUGUUGAUGUUUUCGUGUUUUUACUGAAGUCCAAUCUCAUUCCUUCUUUUCCGGUCGUUUAAAACUCCGGUCGUUUAAAACAAACAAAAGAGUUUGCUGGCGUGGGUGGCCACGUUAGACCGCCACCUUCGAAAUUUAUAAAUGUAAUUGAAAAACUGCACCUUCUGUCACAAUCUCGUCACCUGAACCUCGCUACAAGUUCUUU